ensembl:lncRNA
GGAACUUCCUGGGUGAGAAGUCUGGAGGAGGACGAAAGCGCUCGGGAGCCUAUUUCUGGCUUUAAUAACAGCCUUGGUGACAACCAACCGCAUGAGAAGGGUGCUGGCAGGCGGGUCCGCCAGAGAACAGUGGCACCUCCUGCCUGGAACAUGGGUUUUCUGUGAGGUCUUGGUGGCCUGUAAUGCAGGGAUGGGGCAGGGAAUGUGGGAUGCAUUCUUAGUCGUGAGAAAGCACAGAUGCCUGAGAAAGGAUGGAAAGAGGAGGAAAACCAAUGCCAUGACAGGGCUUCAAAAGAAUCCUUGAAAUACAGCUGAGGAGGCUGUGUGAGUCAAGUGUAGAGGGUGAGGGCAGAAGCCCGGCCACCUCCUCGCUCAUGUCCUUGAGGGUUCUCCUAGCCUCUCUGUGCCUCAGUUCCUCAUCAGUAGAAUGGGCAGAAUAAUAGCACUUUCUUCACAGACUGUCAAGAUCAAAUGAGUUAAUACAAACCUGCAAAGAGCUGAGGAUGAUACUCUGCUUGUAUCAAGAAAGGUAAACAAUUAUUACAGUAGAAAGCGCUCUGGAGUAGGAAUCAUAAGACUGAGAUUUUUUUUUUUCAUUUGUUUGUUUGUUUUAAGAAGCAGCUUUAUUUACUUAUUUAGGUUUGGCCGUACUGUGCCACAUGUUUCCUGACCAGGUAUCGAACCUACACCCCCUGCAGUGAAAUCCAAGAAUCUUAAGCACUAGACCACCAGGGAAGUCCCCAGAAGUCUGAGUUUUAAUGCUGACUCUGCCUGUGACCAAGUGAAUGCCUCUUUGGGCCUCAGUUUCUUCAUUUGCAACAAGAAUAUGAGGGACUAGACAAAGUCAACCUUCUCUUCCAGCUCUAGCGUCCUAAGAUCUUGACUCUAAGACCAGGCAGAAGCUCUAUGUAGACUUGAUACAAGUCUACUUUGCUCCACAUUCUCUGGGGCACAUCACUGCAAAGCCCACCAUUUAGGAUGCAGGCUUUGGAGAUAAGCAUGUUUUCAACGCUUUGCUCCCCUCUUCAGAUAAAAUAAUGGCUAGGGAUGAUUGGUGGACCUUAGGUCAGUAAUACACGGGAAUGAAUUAAUUACUCCCAAAAUAAUGGUCCCUGGGUAAAGUCACACAGUGUCUCAGCGAGAAGGGAAAUGGAGGAAGAAUCAUGAGUGUAAAUUUCUGAUACACGAUUUUGUCUAUGGGGCAGGUUAGGUCCUGCCCCGUAAGAAAAGAUGAAAAGAAAAGCGAUUGUAGCAUGAAGAAUCUCGGUUAACUACAAGUAGAAAUCCAAUUAAUAGAAUAUGAAGGGAAUCAAAGCCUUGAACGUGAAACUGAGGGAGGUUAGGUAGGACCAGGCAAUGGACUAGGUUCUUGGGGUUCUGUCAAUCGCUGGUCCUGAGUCACCUGGGACCCUCUGGGAGUGUGUGUCUAGGUGUCUCUGGUAGAACCUGCCCUUCCUGGGCAUCUUGGAAGUUCCUCUGGAGUGAAGAUUAACUGGCCUUUUGUACAAAGCCCAGGGAAGGGCAACACUGCUUAAUGAUUCAGUGAUGUGCUACCGGCUGGGCUCUGCGAACUGAGCUCAGAGGAUGUUUGAAAGCUUCUACAGCCAUCAGACAGAAAUUGGAGUGACUCAGAUGACAGCAUUCUCGUCAUGCAAAUCAGAGGCUGCGUAUUCGGCAACUGGUCCAGAGAGAGAGAGAUAAGAGGGGAAAGAGUGGGAGGCAAGGGAAGAGAAGGUGGGCCUUCCAGAGGGUUAUCACCUGGACGCCCCCACCCCACAACUCCAAACCAAGGAAAGAAGCCAGCGGUAGAAGUGGACCCUGGAGUCUCUGUUCCAAUACCAGGGGUAGAAAGAAAUAAAAAGAAAUGAGAGUCUCGUAAGUAUUCUUGGUUUCCUGCAGAUGAAAGAAAUCCAAGGCGGCCAGACCCACCUGCACAAUGUGUGCAGACCUCCACCCAACUGAUGAGGAUCUGUUCCACACUGAAGACUCUCAAAAGACAGUAAUGGGGGAGAAGCAUUCACAUCACCAUUAAGGAAUGGUGAUUUCUUCAUAUAUUUGUAUAAUCAUUCAUUCAUUCGUUCCAUGUUUAUUGAGAUCCUACUGGAUGCAGAUGCUGGGCCAGGUGCUUAGUCCAUAAAGAGAAAUUAGAUACUGUCCCUGUAGGAUAUGGCCACAAGAACCAGUUGUCACAAUACAGCAGUGUAGAGCAGCUUAACAGAUAGAGGCGGUGAAUGCUGGAAAGCACAGACCUGGAGUCAGACCCGGGGCUCGGGAGACACCAUGCUGACCAGGAUCUUAAAGCAUUCAGCACAGAAUUAGUGUGAUCAUAUGCCCGGAGGUGUGCCAGGUGUGAAGGCUAGCAGGGAAGAAUGGAGAAAGGCUAGGGAAGAGUAAGGAAUGAAGACAUUUGGAGAACAGGACCAACCCAUGAAGGCUUAAAGAAUGAGGCUUAUGGACCGCCUUCACACACAUUCCCCGAGAGCAGAGGUGAGAGGGCCAGGUGUUUCUCAGCCAUGCCGUCCACCACUUCAGUCACUGGAUUCAAGCUGCCCCUUGAAAGAAUGUGACCUUGGCCAGGCCAUGCACCAAGGACCGAGGGCCAAUGGCUGCAGGCUGACUUUUGGCAGCACUCCUAGCAGCUGGGAGGAUUCCACUGCCUGACUGGUCAAGAGAAAUAAAGGUGAGAGAAAAGCUUGGAGACUCUGGACUGCCCAGGUUCCAGGAGGAAGCAGAGUCAAGGGUCAAGGGGUCAAGACAUCAGACUAAAAGAGACAGAUUGAAGGGAGCUCCAGAAAUCUCAACCCCAUCCCCCAGGGAGUCCAAGAGCACCUCUCUGCCAAGUCCACAGGGCUCAAGGGAGAGACAGCACAGAGUCAGGACCCAUACAGCACUUUCAGAGUCAACUAGUUGGUCUCCUCAUCCAAUGUUGGAAACCAUCCAUCAUUCACUCAUUCAUCCAACAAGCAGUUUUUGCUUAUCUGAUCUCUGCUUGUGGAUUUGAUAACCAGAAAGGAAGUUCAUUGUUUCCUAUGGCCUGAUCUUCAAACACAAAUGAGAGAAUUUGGGCUCAUCAGUGCUCUCAAAGAUUUCCCUUCGAGUAGAAACUCCAUGAACC